GAACUGGACAAGCUUCUUUCGCUCACAUCAGGGCGGUUUCCAAAGUACAGAACAAUACUUAGGCUUUAUGGGGAUGAUAAUAUCAUAUUUGUGUCGACAUAUAGAGGUGUCUUCAUGGUUCAUCUCAAAUUAAUGCAGUUUGAGAAGAUUUUUUAUACCAGUCCUUUUAGCUAUUAUGGGACCAUCCAUCCAUUCAAGUGGCUAUAUGCUUGAGGUACUGGCUUGAUAAAGUGCAGCUUGGGGUCCUGAUAUCAACUUAUAACUAUGGUAUUUUGCAGCUACCAAGUAAAUUUAGCAUUGUAAUGGCCCUUUUGUCUGGCUUUUGCUGCCACUUGUAUCUGGAGAUGAUGCGGGCAUAAGUGAACUACAACGAUCCCAGCAGAACACGUGUCACGGUUGAUGCAUGGGAGCUUUCAAAGAUCU